AGGGCUCACGGUGGAUGCCUUGGUGCUAGGCGGCGAUGAAGGGCGUGACAGACUGCGAUAAGCUUCGGGUAGUUGUUUAUAUGCUUUGAUCCGAAGAUCCCCGAAUCGGGCAACCGGGUAAGUAUUAUUACUUACCGUCUGUACGGUAACAGUACAGACGCCAACCAGGAGAAGUGAAACAUCUCAGUAUCCUGAGGAAGAGAAAGAAAACUCGAUUUCCUGAGUAGCGGCGAGCGAAACGGAAACAGCCUAAACCAGACGUACACGUACGCCUGGGGUCGUGGGACCCUCACAAAAGAUAACAGUUUUUUAACUUAAUGUCCCUGGGAUAGGGCGACCAGAGAAGGUUACAGUCCUGUGAGUAAAAAGAAACUUGUGUCUUGAGGGGAUCCCGAGUACCACGCGGAUAGACUAAACCUGUGGGAAUCCAGGAGGACCACCUCCUAAGGCUAAAUACGUCCUAGCAACCGAUAGUGAACAAGUACUGUGAAGGAAAGGUGAAAAGUUCCCCUGUUAGGGAAGUGAAAUAGAACCUGAAACCGUGAGCUUACAAGCUGUGGAAGUGCGAGAUCGGGCAACCGAUGUGCAUGACCGCGUGCCUUUUGCAUAAUGAGCCGGUGACUUACUUUGCGUAGCAAGAUUAAGCUUUUUUGAAGUGUAGUCGUAGCGAAAGCGAGUCUGAAUAGGGCGAUAAGUUGCGUUGAGUAGACCCGAAACUGGGUGAUCUAUCCAUGGGCAGAAUGAAGCAUGUGUAAAAACAUGUGGAGGUUCGAACCCACCAGGGCUGAAAACCUGGGGGAUGACCUGUGGAUCGGAGUGAAAGGCUAAUCAAACCCAGUGAUAGCUGGUUCUCCUCGAAAUAGCUUUAGGGCUAGCCUCAUGUGUUUGGCAGUGGUGGUAGAGCUCUGGUUGGACUAGCGGGACUACCAUCUUAGCAACUCCAGUCAAACUGCGAAUGCCAUUGUCUUAGAACAUGGGAGUCAGUCUACGGGGGAUAAGCUCCGUUGACGAAAGGGAAACAGCCCAGACCGCCAGUUAAGGUCCCAAAAUACAAGUUAAGUGGAAAAGGAUGUGUUGUUACAUAGACAACCAGGAUGUUGGCUUAGAAGCAGCCAUUCAUUUAAAGAGUGCGUAACUGCUCACUGGUCAAGUGACUUUGCACCGAAAAUGUAACGGGGCUAAACUUGUUACCGAAACUGCGGAUUUUAGUAUUACUAGAGUGGUAGAGGAGCGUUCUAUUGUAGGACGAAGGUAGAUCGAAAGACUUACUGGACGAACUAGAAGUGACCAUGCCGGCAUGAGUAGCGAUAAAACAUGUGAGAAUCAUGUUCACCGAAAACCUAAGGUUUCCCAUGCGAGGCGAAUCCGCACGGGGUUAGUCGUAUCCUAAGGCGAGGCCGAAAGGCGUAGUCGAUGGCAAUCAGGUUUAUAUUCCUGAACCACCGGGUGAGUGUGAAACACAAAGAGACGCAAGUUUAAGGGCUGAAUAGGAGAUGGCUCCGAAGCGUCAAGGACCUUUUAUUUUACAAAAGGUUUCAGCUUGAUUUCUUGCCAAGAAAAUCUUUGUGUGGACGAACUUUGGUGUGCGUACCGUAAACCGACACAGGUAGGUGAGGAGAGAAUCCUAAGGUGCUCGAGAGAACUCUGGCUAAGGAACUCGGCAAAAUGAUCCCGUAACUUCGGAAGAAGGGAUGCUCGAAAGAGCCGCAGUGAAAUGGCCUAUGCGACUGUUUACUAAAAACACAGGUCUGUGCUAAAUCGUAAGAUGACGUAUACGGACUGACGCCUGCCCGGUGCCGAAAGGUUAUGGUGAGGGGUGAAGGAGUAAUCUGGAAGCUCUGAACCGAAGCCUCGGUAAACGGCGGCGGUAACUAUAACCGUCCUAAGGUAGCGAAAUUCCUCGUCGGGUAAAAUCCGACCUGCACGAAUGGCGUAACGACAUAGGCACUGUCUCGGCCAGAGACUCGGCGAAAUUGUAAUACCGGUGAAGAUGCCGGUUACCCAUAGAAAGACGGAAAGACCCCGUGAACCUUUACUAUAACCUGAUAUUGGGUUUUGGUGUAGCAUGUGUAGGAUAGGUGGGAGACUUUGAAGCUGGAGCGCUAGCCUCAGUGGAGUCGUCCUUGAAAUACCACUCUUGUUGCCCUAGAAUUCUAACUUUGGUUCGUGUAUCCGGAUCAAGAACAGUGUCAGGCGGGUAGUUUGACUGGGGCGGUCGCCUCCCAAAUCGUAACGGAGG
rnacentral:rRNA from 1 species